UACGGGGGGGGCAAGUGUUGUUCGGAAUUACUGGGCGUAAAGGGCUCGUAGGCGGCCAACUAAGUCAGACGUGAAAUCCCUCGGCUUAACCGGGGAACUGCGUCUGAUACUGGAUGGCUAGAGUUUGGGAGAGGGAUGCGGAAUUCCAGGUGUAGCGGUGAAAUGCGUAGAGAUCAGGAAGAACAUCGGUGGCGAAGGCGCUCUGCUGGACCAUAACUGACACUCAGGGACGAAAGCUAGGGGAGCGAAUGGG
rnacentral:rRNA from 1 species